GACGAACGCUGGCGGCGUGCUUAACACAUGCAAGUCGAACGGAAAGGCCUGCUUUCCCUUGUGGAUUGCGGGUACUCGAGUGGCGAACGGGUGAGUAACACGUGAGUGAUCUGCCCCCAACUUGGGUAUAAGCCUGGGAAACUGGGUCUAAUUCCCGAUAGGACUGCAGGGUGGUGCCUGUGGUGGAAAACGAUUUUCUAGUGGUUGGGGAUGAGCUCGCGGCCUAUCAGCUUGUUGGUGGGGUAAUGGCCUACCAAGGCGGCGACGGGUAGCCGGCCUGGGAGGGUGGACGGCCACAUUGGGACUGAGAUACGGCCCAGACUCCUACGAGAGGCAGCAGUUGGGAAUAUUGCACAAUGGGCGGAAGCCUGCUGCAGCGACGCCGCGUGGGGGAUGACGGCCUUCGGGUUGUAAACUCCUUUCGACCGCGAGGAAGCCACCUGGUUGGAAGGGUGGUGACGGUAGUGGUAGAAGAAGCACCGGCUAACUACGUG
rnacentral:rRNA from 1 species